rnacentral:lncRNA from 1 species
CUUCACUUUCUUUUCAGGUUGGAUAGGUCAGUUUAUUGCCAGGUUUUGGUACAGAAAAAUCAAGGUUCCAUAAUCAAUUUAAACCAUACGUUUUCAUACGAAAAAGCUGGGAUAAGGUCAAUUGUACAAAAUAUAUUUGAAACCGGCCCUUCAGGACCGAGUUUGGACACCUCUGAUGUAAUACAUACCAAAACUUGUAAAGCCCGGGACACAUCUAUAAAUUUAGACAUACUAUUCAACUUGCAUUCUUUUACUUUGCACCUUAUUACAGUUUUAAUGAAGUACAUUAGAGUCUAUUUAAUAAAAUGGAGCUAUCCAUCCAUCCAUCCAUCCAUCCAUCCAUCUUACAAUAAUCACUUUAUUAGGUACACCUUACUAGUGUUUACAUCAAUAGUAUUAUUCGAAAGAGUCACGGCAGCAAUUGUCAAAGAAAAAAAACAGAAUGGCAAUAAAUAUAAACUCCCCCACAAACUCUUCUUGUGUUCAAAAAAGUUUGCAGUA